rnacentral:rRNA from 1 species
CACGGGGUGAGUAACACGUAUGUAAUCUGCCUGUAACAGGGGGAUAACCCCGGAGAAAUUCGGACUAAUACCCCAUAAUAUCAAAAUGUUGCAUGAAAUUUUGAUUAAAGGAUUCCGGUUACAGAUGAGCAUGCGUAUCAUUAGCUAGUUGGUAGAGUAACGGCCUACCAAGGCAACGAUGAUUAGGGGUUCUGAGAGGAAGAUCCCCCACACUGGUACUGAGACACGGACCAGACUCCUACGGGAGGCAGCAGUGAGGAAUAUUGGUCAAUGGUCGGAAGACUGAACCAGCCAAGUAGCGUGAAGGAUGAAGGUUCUAUGGAUUGUAAACUUCUUUUAUACGGGAAUAAAACCACCUACGUGUAGGUGCUUGUAUGUACCGUAUGAAUAAGCAUCGGCUAACUCCGUG